rnacentral:rRNA from 1 species
UAGGCUGUGUCGUGUGUCGACUGUGAAAUCUCUGGGCUCAACCCAGAAAGUGCGGUCGAAACUGCGAUGCUAGAGCAAGGGAGAGGAAAGCGGAACUCAUGGUGUAGCGGUGAAAUGCGUUGAUAUCAUGAAGAACACCGGUGGCGAANGCGGCUUUCUGGAACUUGUCUGACGCUGANGCGCGAAAGUAGGGGGAGCAAACAGGAUUAGAUACCCUGGUAGUCCCUACCGUAAACGGUGUGCACUAGACGUGGGAGGAUNCCCCCNUNCCGUGUCCANCUAACGUGAUANUGCACCCCCUGGGGAGUACGGCCNCANGCUAAACUCAAAAAAUNGACGGGGGCCNCCCAANCGA